AGAGUUUGAUCAUGGCUCAGAGUGAACGCUGGCGGCAUGCCUAACACAUGCAAGUCGAACGGUAACAGGCCCGCAAGGGUGCUGACGAGUGGCGGACGGGUGAGGAAUACAUCGGAAUCUGCCCGGUUGUGGGGGAUAACGUAGGGAAACUUACGCUAAUACCGCAUACGACCGAAAGGUGAAAGCGUGGGAUCCGCAAGGACCUCGCGCAGCCGGAUGAGCCGAUGUCGGAUUAGCUAGUUGGCGGGGUAAAGGCCCACCAAGGCGACGAUCCGUAGCUGGUCUGAGAGGAUGAUCAGCCACACUGGGACUGAGACACGGCCCAGACUCCUACGGGAGGCAGCAGUGGGGAAUAUUGGACAAUGGGGGCAACCCUGAUCCAGCAAUGCCGCGUGUGUGAAGAAGGCCUUCGGGUUGUAAAGCACUUUUAUCCGGAACGAAACGUGUCAGGCGAAUAGCUUGGCAAACUGACGGUACCGGAGGAAUAAGCACCGGCUAACUUCGUGCCAGCAGCCGCGGUA
rnacentral:rRNA from 1 species